rnacentral:rRNA from 1 species
UACGAAGGGUGCAAGCGUUAAUCGGAAUUACUGGGCGUAAAGCGUGCGUAGGCGGUUGUUUAAGUCUGCUGUGAAAUCCCCGGGCUCAACCUGGGAAUGGCAGUGGAUACUGGACAGCUAGAGUGUGUCAGAGGAUGGUGGAACUCCCGGUGUAGCGGUGAAAUGCGUAGAGAUCGGGAGGAACAUCAGUGGCGAAGGCGGCCAUCUGGGACAACACUGACGCUGAGGCACGAAAGCGUGGGGAGCAAACAGG